rnacentral:rRNA from 1 species
UCAGUAGCGGCGAGCGAACGGGGAACAGCCUAAACCGGGUGGGUCUUUGACGCGCCCGGUGUUGCGGGGCCAUCGCUAAAGUGCGCACGUACGCCUAUCAGAACGGGACUGGAAAGCCCGGCCAUAGACGGUGAAAGCCCGGUACGAGAAAGGCGGAAACGCGCAUAGAUGAGACCCCAAGUAGCGUCGGACACGUGGAACCCGGCGUGAACCAGGGAGGACCACCUUCCAAGGCUAAGUACUCGCUGGUGACCGAUAGCGAACUAGUAGCGUGAGCUAACGAUGAAAAGAAUCCCUGAAGGGAAGUGAAAAGUCCUGAAACCCUGCACUUACAAGCUGUCGCAGCACUGUGGCCCCCGCCUUAGGGUGGGUGGCCCGUGUGACGGCGUGCCUUUUGGAGAAUGAGCCGGCGAGUUGUCCUAUGUCGCAUAAGGUUAAGUGCCUCUGGCACGGAGCCGCAGGGAAACCGAGUCUUAAACGGGCGACAAGAAGUGGCGUGGGACAGACGCGAAGC